AAUUCGCCCUUAGAGUUUGAUCCUGGCUCAGAUUGAACGCUGGCGGCAUGCCUUACACAUGCAAGUCGAACGGUAACGCGGGGCAACCUGGCGACGAGUGGCGAACGGGUGAGUAAUAUAUCGGAACGUGCCCAGUCGUGGGGGAUAACUGCUCGAAAGAGCAGCUAAUACCGCAUACGACCUGAGGGUGAAAGCGGGGGAUCUUCGGACCUCGCGCGAUUGGAGCGGCCGAUAUCAGAUUAGGUAGUUGGUGGGGUAAAGGCCUACCAAGCCGACGAUCUGUAGCUGGUCUGAGAGGACGACCAGCCACACUGGGACUGAGACACGGCCCAGACUCCUACGGGAGGCAGCAGUGGGGAAUUUUGGACAAUGGGGGCAACCCUGAUCCAGCCAUGCCGCGUGCGGGAAGAAGGCCUUCGGGUUGUAAACCGCUUUUGUCAGGGAAGAAAUCCUUUGGGCUAAUAACUCGGAGGGAUGACGGU
rnacentral:rRNA from 1 species